rnacentral:rRNA from 1 species
UACGUAGGGCGCAAGCGUUAUCCGGAAUUAUUGGGCGUAAAGAGCUCGUAGGCGGUUUGUCACGUCUGCUGUGAAAACUGGAGGCUCAACCUCCAGCCUGCAGUGGGUACGGGCAGACUUGAGUGCGGUAGGGGAGAUUGGAAUUCCUGGUGUAGCGGUGGAAUGCGCAGAUAUCAGGAGGAACACCGAUGGCGAAGGCAGAUCUCUGGGCCGUUACUGACGCUGAGGAGCGAAAGCGUGGGGAGCGAACAGG